CAGAUCACCAAACUGGUGUCAGGCAUACUGUACUUUGGCUACAUGCUUCUGGCCUCGUUUGCAUUCUGUGUGCUCACCGGUACAAUUGGGUUCUGCGCCUGCUUCUGGUUCACGAGAUUGAUCUACUCAUCCGUGAAGAUUGACUAGGCUGGAUGACAUGAGACUGCAGAUAGUUUGCUGUACGGUUAUGGUGAAGCGGCCUCCAUUUUCCACCCUGCGUUUUCGUGAAUUCAGGAACUCUGUAUUUUAGGUGUUAUUAACAGCAUAAACCAUUUAUGUCCACUGUGGUUCAGAUCUGAGAUGAUACAUCUGUCGCUAUGGAGUUGUGUAAGGAUAGAACACUACUGUCAGCUUCAUAUGGGGCAAUUUUUCCUUGUAUUGUAAUGAACUGCUGUAUAAAUUCAAUUCAUAGCUACGCGCUCAUAAUUGUCUGUUAUCUCUUUCUACCUCUGCAUGAUGAUGGUGAUACUGUUCUAAUUAUGGUGAUACUGUUCUACUUCUUCACAAAGCUGCAGAUCACAAAACUGGUGUCAGGCAAACUGUACUUUGGCUACAUGCUUCUCGCCUCGUUUGCAUUCUGUGUGCUCACCGGUGCAAUCGGCUUCUGCGCCUGCUUCUGGUUCACGAGAUUGAUCUACUCAUCUGUGAAGAUCGACUAGGCUUGCUGACAUGAGACUGCAGAGUUUGCUGUACGGUUAUGGUGAAGCAGCCUCCAUUUUCCACCUUGCAUUCCUGAGUUUUCAGGAAAGCUGUAUUGUAGGUGUUAAUGGCGUGCACAAUUUAUGUCCACUAUGAUCUAGAGCUGAAGAUGAUAUACAUCGUCACUACGGAGCAAUUUUUCCUUGUAUUGUUACGAACUACUGUAUAAAUUUAAUUCAUAGCUACUCGUUCAUAAUUGUCUGUCAUCUAUCUCUACCUCUGCAUGAAUCGAUUGUGUGGUCCACUGAACACAUGGUCCUGGUUGCCACAAGCCAUAAAAUUGUUCUGAAAUUACAAUAAGAACAUAGCUCGGUUUAGAAGAAUGUGUUCCGUUUGGUCAUCUUCUCCUGAAAGUUAGAGAUCCUUAGUGAUGCUGUUUAAGAAGCAGAGGCAUGUAUGUUACAUAGCCAGCUGAUGUAGCGAUCCUGAUAAUAGAGGUAGUGUAUGCUAAUAGUUUUGUCUUUCCAAACAAAGUCAGGCAGUGAGAGUUCAACUUGAGCAAACGGCGGACCGCGAUGCUGAAAACGUUCAGAACUUUUGGUUACUACAUAUAUUCAGAGAUGGUUUGUUGAUCUCUGCAGUCUGAAUGCUACAUAGACUUCAUACUAGUAUCCAUUCAGAAUCAAGUCAUGAAAUUGUGGUAUCACCAAGGCCUUGUUCGGGUAGUCGUCAGCAGAAGAACAAAAUUACUAGGACAUCUCGCAAACAAAUUGGUGGCCGCCCCGUGCUUGAUUUGAUGUCCACCACGCCCGCCCGCGCUCCAGCUUGGCGAGGCUGCCCGACGAGGAGGGCGGCUGGCGAAGCUCCCGCGCUCCCGUGCUCCCCGUCAGUGCGGGAGCUCGUGCUCCCACCGCGCAGCUCGCUGGCCAGUGCGGCGCGCCGCCGCAGCACCGAGGCGGAAGCCUCUGCCGCACAGGCCCGCGACAUCCCCGUCCUCCGGUAACGACCUGGAGCCCCGUGCCCUGCGCGACAGGACCCGGAACUUGUACCAGCGCGACAGGAGCCGUCGUGCGUGGCGAACCGGUCGACCAUUCCGCGGAGGACGGCGCGCGGGCAGGAUACGCAGCGCGAGGCACCGGGCGCCGUCGUCGGCCGCGGCGGCGACGUAGCCGCGCCAGCACGCGUGGCAGUAGCGGUGCGGCGCCCACACUUCCGCCACCGCCUUUGCGAAGUUCUCGAGGCACGCCGGCGUCGUGCUUGUCAGCAUCCAGAGCUCCUCGUGGUUAUCCUCCAGUUCCAUCCAAUCCGCCGCCGCCGCUCCAGCACGGCAUCGGCCUCGCCGCGCCAGUACUCGAACAGCCUCCCGGAGGCCCCGCCCGUGCGCGCAGGCGUUGCCCAGCACGCGGCGGCCCGCCGCCACCUGCUCCUACGCCUCCGCUGUUGGGUUAUUUGGGUCUAAUGGUGCAAAGGCCCGUUACGUAAAUUCAAACAAUUUCAAUAAAAUUUCAAAGAUCCAUUAAUGCAAAGGUGUAUGGCAACAAGUUAAUCCCACCUUACCAGUGGAGUUGGAGGAAAUCCAACUUAAAUAGUUGGAUGCUCUCCAUGCUCGUGCAAAUGUGGGUGAGAGGAAGAAGGAAGAACACGCGCCCUCACUUCGCCGGGCCGGGCCCGGCACGGGCUUCGAGCGAAGGGCGCGCGCACGCGACGUGCGUGUGAAUGGUCCGCCAAAAUUCAGACCAAUCCUUGCGGAAAUGCGGUUUACUUUUGCAGAUUUGAUACGCAUGGGUGCCGGCUAGAAUAGAAUAUAACAGACGAUGCACAACACGCCUCGACCUGCCUGCUGCGCCGCCGCGUACGCUACUUCAUCCCGUUCGUCGGCGUGCACCGGCGAUCGGGAGAGCAGGUCUCCGAAAUCUCGUCCUCAGCGAUCCUGCACCGGGAGAGGGCGAAUAAGGUUUUUGGGAAGCGCUCUGCGCGACUGCUCGAACGUUUCCACAUCACCGUCCUCGUCGCCACGGCCGUCUUCCUCCUCGUCAGUGGGGCGCGACUCGGCGUCGUCAAGCGCGCGGAGGUGCUGAUCGUCGCUGUCGUCUUCUUUACCCCGUUAUUCCAGUCAGCCUAGAGACGUACGGUUUUCUAUCCCUAACUAUAUUUUUCAUACCUAGUAUGAUCUGGUUAGGGUUGAUCUUGCUGCUGCAAUAUUUUAUCUUAAAUCACUUGAUCAGAAUGUUUACAUAUGCUCGUUUUCUGUACGCAAUUUUCGUCAUGGUUAUGAUUUAUCUUCGGAUUAAUUUAAAACUAAAACUCUUUUUUCUAUCAAUCCAAAAACCUUAUUAUAGUAAUUUCAGUUUCAUGGCUGGAUUUGUUGAUGCUCUGGGGUCCGAGAAGUUCUCUGACGAGCACUUUAAGAGAUGGCAAACGAGAGUGAUUCUGUGGCUCUCUGCCAUGAACGUGUUGUGGGUGUCCAAGGGCAAACUUGAGGGGCCUGUUACCCCUGAGCAGGAGAAGACCUUUACCGAGGCCAACACACUUUUUGUGGACGCUGUGAUCGGUACACUUAUAGAUCGUCUACAGGAUGUGUACCUUCAUCACGUAGACGCUAAAAAGUUGUGGGACGCCCUGGAGGUCGACUAUAGCGGCAUAGAUGCAGGUGCUGAGCUGUACAUCAUGGAGCAGUACCAUGACUAUAAGAUGAUCGAUGGAAAAUCUGUAGUCGAGCAGGCUCAUGAGAUACAGUGCAUGACCAAGGAGCUUGAGCACCUCAAGAUCAAUCUACCCGACAAGUUUGUGGUUGGUGGCAUCAUUGCCAAGUUGCCUCCUUCGUGAAGGGAUUUCACCACAACUCUCAAACACAAGAGGAUAGAGAUAUCAGUGCCUGAUCUGAUAGCAUCCCUUGAUGUUGAGGAAAAAGUUCGGGCCAAGGAUGGGCGAUCUAAGGCUGCUGAGGGCCAAACUAGUGCCAACAUGAUCCAGAAGUCUCACGGCAAAGGUAAGGGCAAGGGAAAAAAAGACUAAGCCGCAGCCUACCACUACUUUCAAGAAGAAGUUCAAGAAAGGUCAAGGCUGUUUUGUGUGUGGAUCUACCGAUCAUUAGGCAAAGAAGUGCCCACACCGCAAACGAAGGAAGUCUUCACCUGAGCAGAAGACUGCGAACACGGUCACCAUGGCUGGAGUGGAAACCAGUGGGUAUAAUUCUUUACCUUUGGUCUUUUCAGUAUUUCAAUAUACUAGUUGGUGGCUCGAUACUGGUGCAAAUAUUCAUAUGUGUUCUGAUACUACCUUAUUUUCUUCUUACCAGACCGCUCGGGAUUCUACAGUGAUGAUGGGCAAUGGGUCGCAUGCUACUGUCCGUGGUGUUGGCAUGGUCGAUCUGAAGCUUACUUCGGAAAGAUCGUGCAGCUGAAGAACGUGCAGCAUGUCCCUACUAUCGGCAAGAAUCUAGUUAGUGGCUCCCUUUUAUGUAGGGAUUGUUUUAAAGUAGUGAUUGUGUCCAAUAAAUUUGUCAUGUCUAAGUGUGGACAAUUUAUCGGUAAAGGCUAUGAGUGCGGAGGCUUGUUCCGUUUUUCAGUUUCAGAUUACUGUAAUAAGUCCGUGAACUUAAUUUAUGAUGGUAUAAAUGAAAGCGAUGCAUUUGUUUGGCACUCGUGUUUAUGUCAUCUAGAUUUUGGCUCUAUGUAUCGACUUUCCACCAUGAGUUUAAUUUCGAAUUUUUCCAUAGUCAAAGGUUCUAAGUUCCAUAGUUGUGUGGAAUCUAAGCAACCUCAAAAACCUCACAAGGUGGCAGAGGAGAGAUAUUUGGCACCUCUAAAACUAGUCCAUUCAGAUAUCUGUGAGAUGAAUGGCGUGUUAACAGAAGGUGGAAAAAGAUAUUUCAUGACCUUGAUUGACGAUGCAACUAGAUUUUGCUAUGUGUACUUGUUGAAAACGAAAGAUGAGGCUCUUAACUGCUUUAAAAUCUAUAAGGCUGAAGUAGAAACCCAACUUAAGAAAAAGAUCAAACGACUUAGAUCCGAUCGAGGAGGUGAAUAUUUCUCUAACAAUUUUGACUUAUUCUGUGAGGAACACGGUAUUAUUCAUGAGAGGGUGCCUCCCUAUUCACCCCAAUCAAACGGGGUUGCCGAAAAAAAGAAUUGCACGUUGUCUGACUUGGUUAACGCCAUGUUAGACACCGCUGGAUUAUCUAAGGCAUGGUGGGGGGAGGCAGUAUUGAUGAAGCGUCCCCCCAUCAGGGAAGACUUAAAAGUGUUGCUUUAUCAGUCCCAGGAGGCUGAUAACACUUUUAUUACAUCUGAUGGUACAUCACCGUACAAUUCUGCGCGGUAAUGGGCAGUGAAGCGCCACUAUCGCGAGAAUUACAACUAAAACCCACACCACUACACUAGCUACGAAAAGGGGAUCAUCAGAGUCUUGCACCAUGCGGAGUUUCAGCGGUGGCCUUAACCACAGGCAAGACUGGGUGCAGGACGAAACCCUACUCGACGUCUUCGGGGAUGUAGUCUGGAUCUUCCACUGUAAAAGUAAGAAUGAGGUGAGUACAAACGUACUCAGCAAGCCCAAUCACACCUGCGGAGGGGGUAUAACAGAAUUAAAUGCACGGGAUACUCCAAGGAUAAGGUUAAGGUUCAUUUGCGGAAAACUCGGUUGUAUGCAAAGGUUCGGUUAAAACAUUUUCAAAACAAGUUUUCUAGUACCAAGGAGCACGUGUUAUUGAUCCAUACAGGAUCCAAGUUUUAAGCUGCUACCGGACUCCCCAUCCGCCGUAGCACACGGCACAACUGCCGGACACUUUCCAAACAUCUCACACCAAUCCAACCAUCCCCAGAGAGAAACACUAGUUAUGUGACCACACCAUAACUUGCCCAAUACCGUGGGCACGGCUAUUCGAAUAGAUUUUAACUCUGCAGAGGUGUGCAACUUUACCCACAGGUGGGGUACCACAGCACGAUCACCUUAGUGUCGGUGCAGAUCCCAGCAAAGCCAUUACCCACCUUAGCUAGACCUGACUAGCCACCACGGGAUCCAUCAAGGGGUCAUUCGACCUACCUCCGAGGUUUAACCGGGGCAUAAGUCACACAGAGCUUAUCCCUUCUCCUUGAUCACCCGUUGCUCUCAGCUCUCCUGAUGGCUAUCGGACUAACUAGUGGGAUUUAUGCUAAGCCGUUGCCCAUACAACGGUCAAGUGGUUUGCACGACAGGAAGCUAGGUGAGAUGACACAUCAACUCGGUCCUUAGGGGUGACAAGAUGGAUAUCUCCCUUCCUCGCUCAACCACAUAGGUACGAGCACACCAACGGCAAUUCACACAGAAAUGCCAUCCAUCUCGUCUGACUCAUCUUUCAAAACCACAUUUUAUCCCUUCCCACACACACAUUUUCUUUAUAAAACCAGGUGGUCAAGGUAUGGUUAUCACAAACAAGGGUGGCUAUCCUAUUUUCAACAAGCAAAACAAUGCAAUUUUAUAAAACAGGCCAUUGGGUUAUGUUUAUAAAAAUUAGGACAGAAACAUCCAUCAAAGGGUGGAAUUGAACUUGCCAUCGUCAAGUCCUUGCGGGAGGUCCUGAUCAAAGCACUGUCCCUCGGGUUCGGGGUCGCAGAACUGGUCCUCGUUCGCUUGAUCACACUCGGGAACUUCUUCGUUCACUCCGUGUCCUACGACGCAAACAAACAGGCAUACAAUCAAGCGAAAGAACUAAAAGCUUUUAUCGUUGAGCUUGAAUCGAAAAUAAUUUAGUUACGGAGGUAGGGGUAAUAUUUUUGGGUGGUUUCUUAAUGGCAUGGCUAGAACUAUACUAGAAAGGGCGUGGUAAAGUUUCGGGUCGAUCGGAGAUCGUUUGGCGCAUAAAAUGACAAGUUAAAGAUGGUUUCGGGGGUUAAACGAGGGUCCAGAGACUUGUUCGUAAUUAUCUAAAGAGGGUAGGGGCUUAUUUGCGAACCCUAGAAAUAUUCAUGGUAUGCUAAAGGGUGUCGAGUAUGAUAGGCUUGGUUUGAAAUGUUAAAAAGAGCAGGGUCUCUUUAGCAAAGAGGAGUAACUAAGGGAGGGGGGUUCUUUUUGGGGAAUACAGGAAAAAGGGGGGGGCUAUGGGCAAAAUGCCCCCUUCUCCCUCCUCUCCCCGCACAGAACAGAGGAGGGGGGGGUAGGGCGCCGGCGCCAGCCCAAUCCGGCCGGCCAGGGCCAAGGCCAGCUCGGGGUGAGGGGGAUGAGAGGGAGGGGGUCACGGGGAACCAGUUCCCGGCCUCACCUCGGGCCGGGGUGGCGCGUGGAGGCGUGGCGACGGUGGGCUGCGGGCGGCGGCGGCGCUGGAAGCGAGGGAGGCGGCGGGCGGUGGCAGUGGAGGCUGUGGGGGGAAGAGGAGCGGGGUGGGGGCCUAUUUAUAGGCGGGAUGAGGCGGUGGGGAGGCCGGAGUUAGGCGGAGGCCGGCGAGCGGCACGGAGCGCCAUUAAUGGUGCUCGGCCGUUUGCUUAUGUCGCGAUGCGUCGUGCGGCGAGGGCGCCGAGGUGCCGUACGUGGGGCUGUGCUGGCACAGGAGCAAGGAAGCGACGGCGCGCGCGGCGGGGCGGAGUGUUGGCGGCGGGCGGCGCGGCACGCGCGGGGAAGCGCUCGUGCGCGUGCGCGUGCGGCGCGGUGAGGUGCGGGCCGGGGGCGGGGUGCGAGCGACGGGCGGCACGGCGCGGCGCACGGCCACGCGCUGCGCGUGCGCGUGCGUCGCGGCACGGCCGGGCAGGGGGGCUCGCGCGCGGCGCGGCAGGGGCUCGCGCGCGGCCGGGGUGAGCGCGCGGGGGUGCUCGGGCAUGCGCGUGUGCGCGGCGCGGGUGCGGUUGACCGGGAGCAGGCGCGCGCGUGCGUGAGGGAAGGAGGGGGGCGGCGUGGCCUGGAAGCCGGAGGCCAGGCGGCGCUCGGGAGCAGGGGAAGAGGAGAAGAGAAGGGAGGAGAAGGGAGGAGGAAAAGAAAGAAAGGAAAGAGAGGGAAAAAGGAAAGAAGAGAGAAAAGAAAUGGGAGAGAGAAAAAGGAAAAGAAAAAGGAGAGAGCAAAAGAGAAAAAGAAGGGGAGGGGGGGUCGCGUCGGCGCCGAUCGCGGCGGUGACCGCGGUCGGUCGGCCAUACGCGUGCGUCAUCCGCGCACUGCGCGAGAAAAGAAUCGCGCCGGCGUUGAUUGCGGAAAAGCGGUCGCGCGUGGUCGUCGGCCGCCGAGCGGUGCGGGAUGGGACAACGGUCAAGUCCGGUGUCGGUCAGAGAGGGUUAGGGCUAGGGUUUUGACGACGAAUGGCUUUUAAACGAGGCACCCUAGCGCGUGAUUUAAUUUGGUGAAUUUUCAGGGCGUCACAAUUGACUGCAUGUCAUGUCCUGAAUAGAGUUUCUAUGAAGAAUAAGGAAAAGACUCCUUACGAGAAGUGAAUUGGGAGAAGAUCUUCACUCUCUUACUUGUGCACAUGGUGUUGUUUGGCCAAGGUGAAUGUGCCAAUCAACAAAAAGCGCAAGUUGAGAUCUAAAACUGUGGAUUGUAUCUUUUUAGGUUAUGCACACCAUAGCAUUGCUUAUAGAUUUCUAGUAGUUAAAUCUGAGGUGUCUAAUAUGCAUGUAAAUUCAUUGUUCGAGUCUCGUGAUGCUAUUUUCUUUAAGAAUAUUUUUCCUAUGAAAGACUUGCAUGUUAUAUCUUCAUUACCUCUGAAUGAAACAGUGAAUACAACUUCUGAAUUUGUUGAAUUUUCUGAGCAUGAUGAACACACACUUGAAUCAAAUCAUGAGGAGAUUCACAGUGAUGCUCCUAGGAGGAGCAAGAGACAAAAGACUGCAAAGUCUUUUGGUGAUAAUUUCACUGUUUAUCUCAUAGAUGAUUCUCCCAAAACAAUCACCGAGGCAUUCUCAUCUCCUGAUGCAGAUGAUUGGAAAGAUGCUGUCCGUAGCGAGAUGGACUCCAUUCUCUCCAAUGGAACUUGGGAGCUGGUCGAAAUACUGUAUGGUUGCAAACCUGUGAGUUGCAAGUGGGUGUUCAAGAAGAAGUUUAAGCCUGAUGGUAAUAUUGAUAGGUACAAGGCUCGUCUUGUGGCUAAGGGUUACACGCAGAAAAAAAGCGAAGAUUUCUUUGAUAGUUACUCACCUGUUGCGAGAUUGAUCACUAUUUAUGUUCUACUCUCCCUGCCUACCUCGCAUGGUCUUCUCAUCCAUUAGAUGGAUGUUAAGACAGCCUUCCUCAAUGGAGAGCUGGAAGAGGAAAUCUACAUGACACAGCCUGAUGGGUUUGUAGUAGAGGGUCAUGAGAACAAGGUGUGCAAGUUGUAUAAAUCUUUGUAUGGCCUGAAGCAAGCACCUAAGCAAUGGCAUGAGAAAUUCAACUUGACACUCAUAUCAGCAGGAUUUAGUGUAUUACCGCUAUGGUGGGGGUCAAGAAGUUAUAUUCUGUUUGUAUGUCGAUGACAUACUGAUCUUUGGGACUAGUCUUGAUGUAAUCAACGAGGUUAAGAUAUUCUUAUGUCAAAACUUUGAUAUGAAAGAUCUUGGUGAGGCUGAUGUUAUUCUCAACAUCAAGCUGAUCAAGGGAGAGAAUGGGAUUACUCUUUUGCAAUCCCAUUAUGUGGAGAAAAUGUUGAAACGGUUUGGCUAUAAGGAUAGCAAAUCUAGUCCAACUUCGAAAGAACAGAAGAAUUGGCAGAGACCAAUUGAGAUAUUCACAGAUGAUUGGCUCACUCAUGUAUCUUGCGAGUGCAACGAGACCUGACAUCUCUUUUGCUGCAAGCAAAUUGAGCCGGUUUACUAGCAAUCCAGGAGAUGAUCAUUGGCGUGCACUUGAGCGCGUAAUGUACUACUUGGUGGAUACUAUGGAAUACGGGAUUCACUAUUUCAGCUUUCAUGCAGUACUAGAAGGAUACAGUGAUGCUAAUUGGAUAUCGGAUCUAGAUAAACUGUAUGCCACUAGUGGAUACGUUUUCACUCUUGGCGGUGCUGCUGUUUCAUGGAGAUCAUGCAAACAGACAAUCCUGACGAGAUCUACUAUGAAGGCAGAACUCACAGCACUAGAUACAACUACAGUGGAAGCCGAUUGGCUUCGUGAGCUCUUGAUGGACUUACCUAUUGUCGAGAAAUCAUUGCCGGCAAUAAUGAUGAACUGUGAUAAUCAAACGGUGAUUGUCAAGGUAGACAGUUCAAAGGACAAUACGAAGUUUUCAAGACAUAUCAAGAGACGGUUAAAAUCAGUCAGAAAAAUGAGAAACUCCGAAGUUAUCACUGUGGGUUAUGUCCACACUGAGAAAAAUCUGGCUGAUCCGUUCACCAAGGGGCUAUCACGCAAUGUGAUAGACAAAGCAUCCAAGAAGAUGGGUUUGAGACCCGUAUAAGCUAUUCCCUAUUGUUAACCCAACCUUUGUGAUCGGAAAUCCCGUGAAUUAGAAUAUGGGAAGAACAAUCUAGAGGUUAGCAUGAGAGUAACCUUUUAUACUCACUCGAGAAGGAUGCAAUACUCUCGAUUACUGCAUGGCAGGUUGGCAUUGGCCUUAAUAUAUUAUGUUGGCUUUAAUUAGUAAAGACGUUAUCCUGGAGAAUGUUCUUGAAAGAAUACACCUAUAUGAGCCCGACUGUUGGACGGUCGCAGUCUGUGAGAUUCGGGUGAUCUCUAUUAAGCUCAUGAAGAGACCAGGGAGUACGACCUAUGUGCUCCAACCGCGAAGUAGCCUACUGGAGGUUAAGUAUCAGUUUGACUGUAAGUGAAACUUAUUUGCACAAAACUUGCUAUUCAAGGCUUAGUCCAUUGUUCAAUUUGUAAAUGAGUGCAACUUACUAUUCUAGAUAGAAGUUCAACUUAACAGUCUCCAUUGAAAUACCGGUAUAUCAAACAACAGUGGGUUGAGACAAAAUCAUAAUGAGACUUUGAGAUCUGGUGGGGAUUGUUGCAAUAUUUGGGCCCAAUAGUGCAAAGGCCCACUAUGUAAAUCCAAAUAAUUCCAAUAAAAUCUCAAAGGCCCAUUAGUGCAAAGGUGUAUGGCAACAAGUUAGUCCCACCUUGCUAGUGGAGGUGGAGGAAAUUCAACUUAAAUAGUUGGAUGCUCUCCAUGCUCUUGCAAGUGUGGGUGAGAGGAAGAAGGAAGAAUACGCGCGAGCUCGCUCGCCUCGCCUCGCCGGGCGCGGCGCGGGCGGGCUUGGGCUUGGGCUUGGGCUUGGGCUUCGGGCGAAGGGCGCACGCACGUGACGUGCGCGUGAAUGGUCCGCCAAAAUCCGGUCCAAUCCUUACGGGAAUGCAGCUUCCUUUUGCAGAUUUGUUUUGUCACUUUGAAUCUGUUACGGAUUUCACGCGCGGAAUUUUUGGGACUUGUAACCGACUUGGUUUUUGGGACGCCAAAAACCAUAGCGGUUCCUUCUUAUAAAUACGCACGGGUGCCGACUAGAAACAGAAUAUAAUAGGCGACGCACAACACGCCUCGACCUGCCUGCUGCGCCGCCGCGUACGCUACUUCAUCCCGUUCGUCGGCGUGCACCGGCGAUCGGGAGAGCAGGUCUCCGGAACCUCGUCCUCAGCGAUCCUGCACCGGGAGAGGGCGAAUAAGGUUUUUGGGAAGCGCUCUGCGCAACUGCUCGAACGCUUCCACAUCGCCUUCAUCUACGUCCUCGUCGCCACGGCUCGUCUUCCUCCUCGUCAGUGGGGUGCGACUCGGCGUUGUCAAGUGCGCGGAGGCGUGCUGAUCGUCGCCGUCGUCUUCUUUACCCGGUUAUUCCGGUCAGCCUAGAGACGUACGGUUUUCUUUCCCUAACUAUAUUUUUCAUACCUAGUAUGAUCUGGUUAGGGUUGAUCUUGCUGCUACAAUAUUUUAUCUUAAAUCACUUGAUCAGCAUGUUUACAUAUGUUCAUUUUCGGUACGCAAUUUUCGUCAUGGUCAUGAUUUAUCUUCGGAUUAAUUUAAAACUGAAACUCUUAUUUUUUCUAUCAUCCGCCACCACCUCGAGGCUUCCCCUCGGAGGCGUCCCUUCGCCGGCGGAGCCCGCCGUCGCCAUGCACCGGACGCACCCCACAGUCUAAUCCGGAAAUAGGGGGGUUUCUACAAAUAAAGGAGGUUUAUUGUAAAUAAUUGGAUCGGGAUUAAUAGUCGCGAUCUGAUUCAUGGGGUUUACUGUAAAUAUUUGGAUCACAAUUAAUAAUCACGAUCCGAUUUAGGGGGCUUUGUGUAAAUAUUAGAAUUGCGAUUAAAAGUCGCCAUCCAAUUCGGGGGUUAGUGUAAAUAUUUUAGGGGGGUUCUGUAAACUAUAUUGACUACGGUCUUCUUCCAGCCCCACUCUCCUCCCGGCUCCGGCGUGCCCGCGCCGCCGCGAUCGCCAUGGAUCCUCCUGUCCCCUCCCGCCCGCCAAAGACGGCGGCUUUGCCGGUGACAUCCACCUGCGCGUACGCGUCCCUUCCGGCGCGAGUGGCGAACCACUCCACCAUCCUGCGUAGCGCGGCGCGGGAGCACGCCGCGUCGGGGCACGGCAGCGCGAGGCAGCGGGCGCCGCCGCCGUCCAGCGCGGCGGCGACGUAGCUGCGCCAGCACCGCGGCAGUAGCGGUGCGCGCAACCCGCCGAGGCAAUGUGCGCAGCGGGCUUCGCUUCCGCGCAAAUGCCGCACGCCACGACCUCAUCGUCGCGGUCGCCAGGGACGACGGCGAACGGGGUGUCGUCCAGGCUGACGGCGUCGCGGAUCUGGUCCUGCUCGGCGAACCACUCCUCGUGCAGCCGCAGCGGGCUCUUCGUCUUCUCGGCGACGUCGUCGCCGCCGCCGUAGACACGCUGACACAGCAGGUCACGGACUUUGGCCCUGUUGCCGUCGGUGAGGUCGUAGACCUCGCCGGAGCAGUUGUCGUGGUCCUUGGCUUCCUUCCCUUGUUUCUAGAUAUCUUAUAUAUGGCCAAAAAUCGCAACAAGAAGAUCGUGACAUCACUUGAUUUUCAACUCCAGCUUCAGAUCAUAUCAUAAAAUGAACUGCUAAAGGUAGCAAAUAUGCAACGCUGAAAAGGCCUUAAAUAUUAGCCUAAAACUAUGCUUUUCAUUCGCUGUCAGAUUAUAGCAAGCGCAAAUUUCAAAUCCUGUCAUGAGAGCUCACAAACAUGUAAACCUCGCAACCAUAAAUCACAGGAGCACAUGACAGCAAAUUAAAUGCCCCUCCCAGCAAACAUGUAUGAUUAUUGAGCCAUUAUUACUGUAGUUAUCACAACCAGUUCACUUGGAUAGCGUUUAUGUUUGCUUACAUAGGGAGGUGUCCUGCUCAGACAUUACCCCAGGAAAAGAAGAAGAAGAUAAAACAGUAAUAGAACAGUAGAUAAACGAGGGAUUUUACUUAAUAGUAAGCAAAAUGGCCUUAUUCAUUUGCGAUCGGACAGGGAGACUUACAGAGGCUUGCACAAAAACUGCAGCUCUCCUUAAGGCUAGCCACUAAGGAAUCAUCAUAUGAUGCAAAGAGAAGGUGAGAAAUACUAGGGAAGGAGGGGGGAAGGAGAAACUAUUCAAGAAACUAAAGCUUCCAUCCAAGGUUGGCAAAGAUCUAUCCUAGUGUACAUGAUUGCUGGACCAAAAGCGCAAGAAGCCAUCUUCGCCAAUGUCUUUGUUUUCAGCACCAACAUCCCUGUAUGUGCAGCCCCCAAGAUUUUGAUCAGGAAGCAUGUGGAUGAUAUUUCAAGUACAGCCCAACCGCAUCGAUCAAGAGUCCCUAUGACAAACCACUCUGCUUAACUUCGACUGGCUUCGCAGGAACAGACGGAUCACCCCCAGACGCUUUCUCGGACGAAGGGCUUACGGUCUUGGACUCACCAAGCCGCACAGCCUGAGCAAAACUCUUGGUGAUAUGCCCCACAAGGUCAGUAGGCACAGUCAAGGGCUUCUUGGGUUCAACAGCAAUAGAAGUGGAUAUAUGUUGCUGAUGCAGCCGUGCCUUAUUUUCCUGCAGCGCUUUCUCACGCUCCUCAUAAAAGUCAAAGUCGUCAAGGAUUGACGCAUCAUCAUCAUGGUUCUUAAAGAUCUUUAGCAUCUCCAGUCCUUGCUCUAGUUUCACCUACAAUAGGCUCAAACAAGCACAGGUGUCACACUAAAUAGGCAAUGCAUUAAUAUAGUCAAAUUUCAGUAUGAAAGUAAAAUGGAAAACAAAGGCACAGAAUAUUAACAGCUGAAACGGAAGCAUGAAUGGCACAUCCUAGCUAGUACACGAUAUGUAUCUCAUGAAUAAAGGAGAGCUAUGUACAACAAAAAUAAAAAAUGUAAAUUAAGCAAAUGGAGAUAAGACUAGAGAGAGAGAAAUCCAAGUACCUCCUGUGUGUCUCGGCUAUUCGUUACAGGUUUAUUGUCGUUGUUUUCAAGAAUUAUAUGGCGGAAGAGAUUAUUGGGGACAUCCUUCACUAUGUGCCACUUAACAGGAAACUGACCAGUCCACUUAUCUUGCUGCCAGUAAUCCACACUUUUCUCAAAGUCCACUGGACCAAUCAUCUCAGCAACACCACAGAAUUGUGCACUAGCAUUUACCUGUAUAUUUUUGUAUCAACUUUUCAUUAUUAGCCCGAGAUAACAAGAUGGGAAGUAAAAAGGACUGACUGACUUAAACAAAACAAUAAGUAAGAUGAUGCUUUAGUUACCGAAAACAACAGAAAAAUGGGGCAGUGCUCUUCCUUCUCCUUAGCUUCACGAUAAGCUGAGUCCAGUUUCUUGUUUCCAUUUGUGGUGCUAGCCCAAACACCAUAUUUGACGCUCUUGUGCACAUUAUCUUCACUGUAUGAUUUUAUGAUGAAAAAUCUGGCAUUUGUGUACUCUGUAACAAAGUCAGGCCUAUUGUAUAACUCACGACCAACUCCUGUAGAAGGCUUCUCAUCUUUACUGUCACCCUCUGGUUGCUUCUUAGGCUUAGUAGCGCGCGGACCCCGACUUUGCUCAUUGAGAAAGUCAAGCGGGCCAUUGCAGCUGCAAAUAAGGGCAUUACCCCUUCCUCUUCUGCGCCCUUUCUCGAUGGAGAUGGAACUUCUACCAUUAAUGCCAAAGCCAGGGAAGGAUCCCCCACAAUUACUGGCCUGUGGGAACAUCCCACCAUGAGAGAAACCCCGUCCGUAGGAGUCAGCUGGGGAUCCGAAACCGUAAAAGGGCUUCUGGUGAGGUGAUGGCUGAAAUCGAGGGAACCAAAUAAAUAUCAGAAGGCAGAUCUACAAGUAAGCAAAUUCAAUCAUGCAGAAAUACAUUCCUGUCUCUUAGAAAAUGAUUUUUCAGUCUUUCUGAACAUAUGAUAAGCAUCACCACAAAAACAACAACUUGGAAUUCCAUGCAAUUGUGAGUAACCCCCAAAGCAGUGACAGGUGGAUGCAGGCAAGAGCAGAAUUUGAGUUGCAGCUGGUGGCUACAAUCAAGUCUGAGUUUAAAUAUCAACGACAGACAUAAAACAAUGAAUAUGAAAAGGCACUAGCUGGUAUAUACUGAAGGUAGGUUUUACAUUGUUCUUCGUGGAUUUAGUGAAGCUAAGAUUUGUUUCUGAAGUGAAAAGCUAACCCCAAGAUUCCCAUGAGAGAUAGUAAAUUGUGCAAAAAGCUGCAUCCAUGAAUUCUCAAGUCAUAUUCGAGGGAAGAUAAACAUAGGGUUAGCAAUGUGAAGACAAUACCAUUCCUGAAGCCAUUGGAAAGUUGCUUUGGCCAAAGGCUCCUGAAACACCACCAGCAGGUUGAGGUGAAGCUGCAGGUGAUGGAAAUGACCCAGUUCCUUCUGAAGAUCUGAACCAUUCUGAAAGAUAUAAUCAAAGGGCACAAAGUUAAGGUCUCACCUAGAACACAAAAGACCUAAAUCAACUGAACAAAGCACAAAGUUAGAUAAUAACCAGGUCUUGGGCCAAAAAGGAAGCUGUUCGGACUCAGAGUAUGAGUAUCAGCAAUAAAACCUCCUUGUGUUGGAUCAAUCGGCAUCAUUGUCUCACCCUGUGAUAUUGGAGGAGAGCUUAAAUAUGGCAGGCCAGGUGGUACUGACUGCUGGUAGUAAGGAGCCGAGAAGGAGAACUGCUGAGGGGUGUAGAGCUGACCAUCUCCACUAACAGCAGUAGGUACAGGUGUUGUAAUAGGAGAAUAAUGAGCAUAUGGGUCAUAUCCAUAGCCACCAUGGAACAUCAAAGAAGGGUCCUCAUUGUACACAACCUUCAAGAAAAGACAAAUUUAGAGAAGUGCUCUUUGGAAAAAUUUUAACAAAGGAAUUUUUUUCUACUUACUGUUGGACCCACUUCCAAUCCUUCGACACUCAUGUAAGGAGGAUAUGUGUCCCAUUCUUGUGGAGGGUUUUCAUAUCCUGAGCCUGCUCAUAGAGGGUUAACUAUGUUAUGGAUCCAACAAGCAUUCAUCAAUUGCGAUGAGAGCUGCAAAAUCAACAAUAUUAAAUAAAACAAAAUAAGUGACUCAAAGGAGUCCACUGAAAAACAGGUUUACAUAUUCUAUUGAUCUAUUCCUGACAAGCAUAGGUAGUUUCAUAGACAAAGACAUCAAGAGCACCUCCUAGUACAUAUGUCUCAAACUUUUGGUAUAAUUGCUUCUUUAUGUUUCCCUAGGUUAUUAUUUCAAACUAUACAGCGCAAUGCAUAAGUCCAUGCUCUGUAACAAAAAGUGACGAGGGAAGGCAAAACAUUACGCAAAGUGUGAAGAGAGGCUAUAAGCAAGCUGACCUUGGUAAUAGAAUGGCUGCGCCUGAGAAGCAUAAAAGUUGUGUGGAUAUGCAGCAUUAUGGUCCACAUCUAUGUUGGAUGUGCCAGCUUGGGUUUGGCCUUCACUUGGUAUAUCGAUAACAUUUGAAUCAACUGAAAUUGGGGGAAAAGUUGCUUUCUCAUCCUUGCUGGGAACAUGCUGAGGUAGAUGGUUGAUACAGUCAGCAAACAAUGUAAACAAAAAGUAAAGGCAAUGUAUUGAAAAGUAAUUACCUGCUCUUUUGGCUUCUCAGUGAGACCAAUCUUUUGAUCGACAUCAGCUAUUGGCUCCUGCUUGUCCAUGGAGCCUGAAACAACAAGGUUCAACAAGUGAGGAUAUCCAAUGCUAAGCAGAGUAAAUAAUAUUGCUGCUACCUAGAUACCCUUUGUUCUGGCCCUACCAAUUUCAAUUUUUUUUAAAAAAAGUUGCUAUGCCACAGAUCUAUAUGGAGUAAGACUAAUGUCUACUUAUUUAAGUAGCAAAAAAAGAUAAUUGCUUCCACAGCAUAUUUACAUCCAGAUACCAUGUGAUCCUACAUGCGAUGCAUGCUGCAUUUAAUUUCUAAGGAAACAUGUCGAUCGUAGACAAAAGCAUGCAUUACAAUCACCGGCACUCAAAAUUCCCGUACUUUGUUGCACGUGCUUGGCAGUUUAACCUACAUGGUUAUGACUUUGAAGUUAAGAUGCAUACACGAUGCACACAAAUCCUAUGAUCAGUCGAAACAAGACCAGAUCACAACUAAGGCCUCAACUAAGGCCUCUCCAAAAAAUCUAGCCUCAUGACAGGGAUGGACACCCUGCCACAACCCUCUGCUUUACCACGGUCUGCACCAACCAUUAACAUGACGUACACUCCUGGCUGCUAAUUGCUUCUGAAGCCCGUUCAGGCAUCUAAAAUCACGUCCAACCCACCCGAAUUGACUGUGCAUCGCUACGGAAAGCACAUACACGUGACGCUUUCUACACCGUACCCAACCAAUUAAACGUGACAUUGAUACACCCGAUGCGUACGAACCUGUAAACGUCCCGUUGCUCCUAACAAAAAGGACUCGCAAUGCGUGAAGCGGAAGCUUGGGCGAUUCCGCCGUGCCUUCGCUGCUGGAAUCAGGAGCGUACACCAUGUCAAGCAAGAAGCCCGAUCGACUCAAUCGCAGACUCCUGAUACCAAGACCGAUUUAUUCCGUAACUCGAAAUCACAACAUUGGCGACGCCUGAACCUGAAUUCGCAUAAGAUCUUACGCACGCACAGUGACCCGGGGGGGGGGGGGGGGCAGACGCACAAGAAUUCGGCGACAAACCGGAUGGAUCGAAGAAGAAAGAUUUUGGAUUUGGAAGCUCCAAUCAAAUCAAAACAAAAGGAUGGUGCAUCAAAACGAGAAACGGACAGCCGAUCAAAGCGAGGUACAGCUCCCGUACAUACCGGCAAUAAGAAGGAAGGAGCCGAUCAGUCGGGGCUGGGAGGGAUCUCCGCUCCAGCGAGCGUCGAGGGCGCCUACUACGAUAGGAGGGGGAGGAGGACCGGUGGGAGGACGCCCGGAUCGGCGCGGAGGCCGGCGGAUCUGGCGAUCGGAUCGGGCUCGAUCGGGAUCCCACACCUGUCUGCGGCUCGUGAUCUGAUGAGCGGAUGGAGGUGUCGAGAGGCGACGGGACCUCCCCCUUUUUCUCUCUAUUGCGCGGUUUUUUUAUUCCUAGUAUUACUUAUAGGUGGCGUUAGGAUUUGGAUUUUCAAAAGAGAGAGACAAGAACAAGCAUUUAUAAUACAAAAAACACAACUUCAACUUUCCAUUCCACAAGGUACAUCCGAUCAGAGUAAUCCAAAGAUUAUUCUUGCAAAUUUUACUAUCUUUCUUUUCAAAGUUGUGAUUGAUAGUCGAAGUAUAGCUAUAAACUGACGAAUCGUACAAUAAAUUUGGAACUAGCACAGGUAUAAUCUAAGUUGGAACAAGCAUUUAUAAUUCACAAAUCGAGGUACUGAGUAUGUGAGUGCAUUUGAAACUAGUGUGGAUUCACCAUCCAAAAUCAAUACCCACAAGAUCUAAAAUCGGAUAAGUGUUAAUAAGUUACAUCAUUUUUUGCUUGAACAACUAUUAAGUUGGCUGAAUUUACUAUGAAAUUACCAAUCGCCAAGUAUAAUAUAUACAACGUGUUGCUGACUUAGCCGGGCAGGUAGAGUGUACAACCGUGCAAGUCAAGUCAAGAUCCAUCCAAGAAGAAGACGCGCCAGAUGCAAUUAAUUUCGAGUAACCUUAUCUUUCCGUCCCUUGAUCUAGGUUUAGAUCCCAUCUAGUACGAUUGAUCUAGCUGUUUAAUUAAUCCAGAUUGGUGGCUGAUCGGAUCUAACAUCCAGGCUUAAAAGUUUCUUAAUUUCAAUUAACUCCAAAGGUUAAGAAAUGAAUGCGCAAAGGUACGGCUGUGUGUUGAUUAACAGUGUAACUAAAAAAAAA
rnacentral:lncRNA from 1 species